GGGUUCCAAGCACAACUCAAUUUUUUUGUUAGAUUAGACGGUAAGGUAUUGCAAGAAAUGUUUAGAGUAAAUUUUAGAUUCAUCUUUUUGUUAGCAACUAAUAAGAGAUUACAAAACUGAUUUUUAUUUUGAUAAAAACAGUGGCGUGCCAUUUUUUAAUGUAAUAAAAUUAUAUUUUGGUCAAUAUUAACGGUUCAAAAAAAGGUAGAGAAUAAAUUCUUUUCAUUCAAUUAUAGAGAAAUUUAUCCUCUUUUAAAAUAUAUAAAAAUUAAUAUACCA
rnacentral:lncRNA from 1 species